ensembl:lncRNA
UUAAAUUCCCAAGAAUGCCAGGCAAAGGUUUGUUCCUUUGGAAAGAUCUUUUCAGCAUGCUGGGGUGCAGCCAGCAUCAUGUGACACAGGCCAGGGUGUCCCCACCUUGGCUUGGGCUUGGCUGGCCCUACUUUGGAGCAAGGGUUUGCCUUCACCACCUCCUUUGGUACCUGGUGUACAGCACAGCCCCUCAGUGGCUGCAGGCAUCCCUCCUUCACCUUUGCCUCCUUUGCCUUUCUGCUCUUCGAGGGCCCUCUUUGUUGACAGGAACAUGCUGCCUAACAGUUAAAAGAAUAGCUUUUCCUAUGUAAACUAGAACAGGCUAGAGCAACAGCAAGCCAAUAUGCAGGUCUGCUAGAAGGUUUCCUGAGCCCUCCUACACGUGCUAUCCCAGUAUUUUCUCACUCCUACCUUUCUGCAGACACAUGAGCAUCAUUUGGAACAGCCGUGCCCCACUGAGCCUCACUGAAAAUGUGGCUCAAGCCUGUGUUAAUUUGUGACAUUGUAAAUGAGUCUCAGUGGAAGUAAAGGAGCUGGCAAGGAAAGUGUCUGCAGCGUGCAGUUAUCUUCAUCAGGUACAACAAAGGCAAUUAGAUUCAUGCCCUGCAGGUAUUUCUAUUGCUCUGCUCAACUGAAAGCACACUGGCAUGUGAUACAUCUGUGCCAGUGUACAAUAAAGCAUCUGCAGCAGGUUAAGGGCAUUCUGUUCAAAAAUAGAUGCUGUAUAUUACCCACAGUUUCUCUGCAUGCGUAGGCACAGACCCUCAUGCAAUCCUGUUCUCAAUAGGUGGCUAUUGUGGCUGCAUGGGAUUAAAGGGAGAAUGAGUAGGAGAAGAUUGGGAAUUCACUGCCAAAAAGAAAAGCAGCAGGGAACUUUGGGGUGUUUCUGCAUGUGUGUAUGUGCAUGCAUCAACCUAUGCAUAAAGGCAAGAGAGAAAGCAGCAACAAAGUAGAUGCAUGGAUAGGGCAUUAGGGCAUUAUUUCAUGUGCUUUAUCCCUCAUAAAUUACAGGUAGACCUAGUUAGAAAUUGUGGCUGUUCCAGUAGAAAAACAAACUGGGGGAGGAAUGACAGAAUUUACUACAAAAUGUUUCAAGUUUUCAGAAGAAAACUAAUAUGGAAUAAAAAAAAAAAAAAGGCUUAAAAAGCACAAUCUUUGAUUUGGAAGUGCCAUAACAUUACCUCAUGGGAGUCUGUGUAUUGUCUCUCUGAGUCUCUCCAUUGGGAUCCUUCCUGGACAAUCCCCUUUCCUUUGGGUACAUGACAAUGCAUCUCCCCAGGUAAGGAUGGUUUGGCUGGGAAGCUCAGGCCAGAGGCAAGGGUAGGGGUGUGUAACACCCCAACCCUCAGAGGACUGAAACAUGGCAUUUUUGACUCCCAGUUCUGGAAUUUUUCACCCAACAUUUUCUUUCCCAGUAAUUUAUUUUUAUGUGAUCACCAUUUUCUGCAAGAGCACAUUUUCAUUUCUAACACAUCCAGGCUGCUCUCAAAGUCAAGGCUGACAGGACUAAGCUUAUUUAUAGAGCAACCGUUUGAGUCACAAAAGGGAGAGGCAUCAGAGAGUUGUGUAUAGUCAUUAAUAAAUGAGAUUACAAGUUCCCAUUCCAUUUUUCCCUUGCCAAUUUUGAGUACAUGAUAUUUAAUGACCUUACACAGAAAAAAUUCAGGGGCAGCACUUAACCAGGGACUUCUAUUUAAACAAGCUUAAAUGUGGGCUUGGAUGAUGUCCCAAGAGACUCGACUUCUUUUGGGGAACAAAAGGACCCUAAUGGGUUGCAUAUUAAAGGUAGUGAUGCCUUUUAGUCAUUUAAAUAUUUGCCUGUGUUAUUAACCCUUACUAGAAAGAAAGCAGCAGGGGCCUGAUAACAUUUAUUUUCUAUCCAUCCCCUGCAUUUCUAACUAUAAAGCUCUGAUUUUCCCUGCCCUGCAGCUUGUGUGCUCAUUUACCCAGUGAAGCAAGUGGAAAGGGGGAUGCAGCAUGCCCGAGUUUAGCUCAUUUUAAAGCUUUUGCAGUUUUAAAUUAGAGUUUAUUCUUGCUCAGGGAACAGAGCAGCUGGUAGUCAGCCUCACAGGACUCAGGGAGCCUGGCUUCAGAGAGAGAAAACCUACUACUCAUUAAAAACCAGGCUUAGACUUGAAAACAGUUACAUAAAAUACGCCUCUUGAACCAAAAAAAAAACCCUGGUGACAUGAUGCAGUCUUUGGUUGGCUGUUUCUUGGGAGGAGUUCUUAAAUCAUUCCUACCUUCCCAAGUUGACAGAGGGCAACACCCCAGGCUCCUGGCAGUAAGAGCUUCAUACCUUGUUGCUCUUUCUUCAUGUGCACGUGUUGAUGUGUGGUGUGCAGGUUCUGCUACUCACUCUACCUUAUAUGGUGCUAUAAGCAAUGACUCACAUGGGCACUGCACAAGAGAGGUCUAUAACGAGAGCAAAUAUGCAUAUCUAUAAUGUUGAGAGACAGCUUGUGCCUGUCUGUACCCACGUAUAAUCUCUGUGUAUUUUGAUCAGAACACUGUCUGUGUGGGAGAGCAGAUUAAGUCUCUCCUCUUGCUGGCACUACCUCAUAUCUGAUGUAGCUACUGCCUAUGGCUGAGCUAUUUCAAGCUGAUGGCUGGGCCUAAAGGAGAAAAGCAGUUCCCCUUUAUAUACCACUCUGGGGAUUGGAGGACUCUAUACUGAAAACACCUCUAACGUUACACAUCCACACAAGUACCAGAUUCUGCACUACCUUGAGUCCUGUGUAGCAAUUUAUCUCUCCAGAAUGCCUAUCAGAUACUAACACCACAAUCAAGGAGCAUCAUACCUCUGUUUUGCAGCUAACUGGGAACAAAGGAGAAAUAUGCCGUGGGAAAGGAAGACUGCAUAUCAACCUGUAUCUAAUACCUCUCUCAAUCUCUUGCUCCCUCAAAUCUAUCAUCUCUUUCCAUGUAUAUGGAAAAACAUCCCAAGGCAUGAGCCUGAUUUUACCCUCAGCUGCACGUGCAGUUCCCAUUACCAUCAAUGAGAGCUGCUCAUAAGUUCUGAGUUCAGCCCCUGGGCUUGUCAGUCCAGAGCAACAGUGAUCCUAGAAGGAUCCUGAUAGUCAGAAAAUAUCCCCUGCCAAUAAUCACCAGCUCAUUAAACGUAGAUGUUUCUUUUAUGUAUAUGUUUCAUUCCCUUUCUUCCCCCAAAGGACUAAACUUUUGGACAUGAAGACCAGUGAAUUAAGUUCACAUCCAGCUGAGCAAAGACUGCAUAACAAACACUUCCCUGUAAAAUAUCAUUGCUGGAGGCCACUCUUGUUUCUUUUUUGUUAAAUGUCCUCAAUUCAUUAUUCAUAGGCUAGAGCCUUUGCAAAUUUUUCCCCUCUCCAGCCCCACCCUUGGUGGGAAAGCACUGAAGGAAGGAAUGACUUGAAAUACAUUGGAGAACAGCACCAUUAAUAAAUAAUAGUUUUAAACCAACUUUGUCUAACAUCACUAUAAUUGAGUUAUAAAAAUUUCAUAUCAGAUUUCUUGCCCAGAUUCCUGUGGCUAGUUCAAGCAGAGGAGCACAGUGUGUAAUACUUACUACUUCCUUAGGAGACAGGAAGCUGUAGAGCUGGAGGGUUUGGCUGGCUUUUUGGCUGGCCUGAACCUCUGCGGAGGAGCUUCGCUUUGCUGUGAUCUUUGAAUGGUGCCGGGAGUGUCUUUGCCGUGUUUUACGCCUUUCCUCCCGAGACCUGGCUCUGUGCCUCCAGAAGACAUGAACAGCCAAACUGUUACUCCUUGCUAUUGCAGUAUUGCCCAUUACCAGCUCCACACAAACCCUUGGCAGCUCUGUGCUAAGGCCAUUGUGUGUGGGCAAGGUUUUCCACAUGACUGCUCUGUGGAGUCAUGGUGGAGAGAAAAGGAGUGUUUUGCUUUUCUACUUUUUUUAACAAAGAAUAUUUUGCAUCCAGGCUUUGGAUCUCAACCUCGUGUUUCAGCUCCAGUUCAUGAUUUUACGAUGGCUCAAGGCAAACCGUACUUCCAUACAGCCUUGAAUGUCCCUAUGGUAAUACACCUCCAAGAGAAGGCACAUUCUGUCUGCUCUUGCAUGAAUGCUCCUCUGAUUACUGAUUGCUUUCCUCCCCCCACAGAACAUCAUAUCUUCAGAGGAAAAUUCCCAGUAGUUAGAAGUGAAGUGGGAGAGAGGGGGUGGUUUGUUCAAGUGCUUUCAGAAAACAUGAAACAUGAUGUGUGUAAACUGUGCAACUUGCUAUUGCAGUGAUUCUGGGUCUAACACCAGCAUCCACUUAGCUGGCCCCAGGAUGCAUCUGUCAUCCACAGGACAGAGAUUUUAAUCAGGUCAAAGAUGGUGGCUAUGGCCAUGGGCAAAUAUAUUUCCAUUACUAAGACCAUGUUUAAGGAUCUCUCAGGACAUAGCAGCACACAGCCCUUGGGCUGGGGAAGGAAGACUAGGCUGGAAUCAGCUGUCAUGAGCUGAUCAUCAGCCAUGAGGAUUAGAAGUGACUGCCAAACCAAAAAGCAGCAGCCACUGCUCCUUGAGGCAAAACCCUUCUAGAGCUGAGACUACAAGAAGCUCAGCCCUCAGUAAUGUGACAUAGCUGCUACCAGAGUGGGAUGUGGCUCUGCACAAAGAGUUUGUGGGUCACAGAGGCUAUUGCAAUCAUGUCCUUGAGCCCAUUGGGAAGCAUUACAGAACACAGCUUGGGGAACGGUGACGUUACCUGCUUCGGCAGCUGGGGGAGUGGGAGUCGGAGCUCUCGGAGCGAGAGUGGCAGUGGCGGUGGCGAUGGGAUUUCCGGCUGCGCCCA